AGAAUCAACGCUGGCGGCGUGCCUAACACAUGCAAGUCGAACGAGAAAGUGGAGCAAUCCAUGAGUAAAGUGGCGCACGGGUGAGUAACACGUGACUAACCUACCCUUGAGUGGGGAAUAACUUCGGGAAACCGAGGCUAAUACCGCAUAACACCUACGGGUCAAAGGAGCAAUUCGCUUAAGGAGGGGGUCGCGGCAGAUUAGUUAGUUGGCGGGGUAAUGGCCCACCAAGACGGUGAUCUGUAUCCGGCCUGAGAGGGCGCACGGACACACUGGAACUGAAACACGGUCCAGACUCCUACGGGAGGCAGCAGUGGGGAAUUUUGCGCAAUGGGGGAAACCCUGACGCAGCAACGCCGCGUGGAGGAUGAAGUCCCUUGGGACGUAACUCCUUUCGAUCGGGACGAUUAUGGACGGUACCGGAAGAAGAACGCCCCGGCUAACUUCGCGCCAGCGAGCCGC
rnacentral:rRNA from 1 species